rnacentral:rRNA from 1 species
ACCGGCCUUGGGGGUGCUAUACUGCAGUCGAGCGACAGACAAGGAGCUUGCUCCUUUGACGUGUAGCGGCGGACGGGUGAGUAACACGUGGGUAACCUACCUAUAAGACUGGGAUAACUUCGGGAAACCGGAGCUAAUACCGGAUAAUAUUUCGAACCGCAUGGUUCGAUAGUGAAAGAUGGUUUUGCUAUCACUUAUAGAUGGACCCGCGCCGUAUUAGCUAUUUGGAAAGGUAACGGCUUAUCAAGGCAACGAUACGUAGCCAACCUGACAGGGUGAUCGGUCAUUAUGGAACUGAUACACGGGCAGGACUCCUAGGGGAGGCCCCCGAUGGGAAACUUCCGUUGUGGGCGAAAAUCUUAAUGGAGACUCCGUUGAGUGAUGAAGGUCUUCGGAUCGUAAAACUCUGUUAUUAGGGAAGAACAUACGUGUAAGUAACUAUGCACGUCUUGACGGUACCUAAUCAGAAAGCCACGGCUAACUACGUGCCAGCAGCCGCGGUAAUACGUAGGUGGCAAGCGUUAUCCGGAAUUAUUGGGCGUAAAGCGCGCGUAGGCGGUUUUUUAAGUCUGAUGUGAAAGCCCACGGCUCAACCGUGGAGGGUCAUUGGAAACUGGAAAACUUGAGUGCAGAAGAGGAAAGUGGAAUUCCAUGUGUAGCGGUGAAAUGCGCAGAGAUAUGGAGGAACACCAGUGGCGAAGGCGACUUUCUGGUCUGUAACUGACGCUGAUGUGCGAAAGCGUGGGGAUC